CUUUGGUAAUGUAAAGACUUUUUUUGAGUAACUGACAGCUCAGUUUUUACUACUUAAUUUAACUCUCAACAAUGCUUUGAAUGUCAUGUAAAAUCAUCUGAAAUCUUGUUACAUAUUUCCCGCAUUUCUUUUCUCGAAAUGUGUAACUGCUUACUGAAUUACACAAUAAAAGGAAAAUUUACGAGUUUUCACCUGGGAAAGAAGUACACACGAAUGCAAGGAAUAAAAAUGCUGGCAACUUCCUCUUUAUGCAAAUCUAACGAACACGAAUGCUUUGAGUAUCUUAUUAAACUUUUCGAGAAAAGUAUGUACAAAUAUAAACAAGAAAACAUUCUCACAAGUUUAUUACUACACAAUUGAAGCACAAAUCUACUCGCAUAUUCGUUUUCAUGAAUGUUUUCAUUACUGUGAAACUACUAAUUUUUUCAGACAGUGGCGUAGUAAACAUACUCUAAGAGUCUAAAAAGAUAUAUUAGCCUACAUAGCAGCUGUCAAAACAAAACAAACGCUCAUAUUGAAGACUUAAUGGACGAAAAUGGUCCGGCUAGAGAAAAUGCUUCGGUAUAAGAAGCAGGUGACCAACGAUAUGAGGUCACUCGCUACUAUCAACUGGCUACUGACACAGCCAAAAAUGAUGCACGUAAUCUAAAAGUUAUACUGCUAGAUUAUAAUGUUAAGACUU